GGUUUCUCCUUCACUAUUGUGAUGAGUAACAAGAACUAAUAAAUAUUGUACUAUCCACAGAAAAAAAUUAAAUAUUUGCUUUGAAGGCAUAGAGAGAAAUGUUUACAAUUGUAUGUGCAAUUGAAUGCUUGCAUCUAGUGCACUCUAAGUUCCUAAGGAGUCCUCUCACUUUUAUAGGACUGCUCUACAUGUGGCCUGUGGCAAGGGCUUUCCCAGAGUGGUGAGACUGCUGACACGCAGAGGUUGCUUACUGAACCUCUGUGAUAUUGACAACAAAACUGCUCUCAUUCACGCCAUACAAUAUGAGCAAGAAGAAUGUGCCACCAUUCUACUAGACCAUGGUGCCAAUCCAAAUGUGAUGGACAUCCACGGCAACACUGCUCUCCACUAUGCUCUCCUUGGUACCAACACAGCUAUAGUGGAAAAGCUACUUUCCUGUAUGGAAAAUAUGGAAGCGAGAAACAAGAAUGACUUCACACCAUUUUCAGUUGCUAAAUAUGGAAACAAAGA